rnacentral:rRNA from 2 species
AUGUGAACGCUGGCGGCGUGCCUAAUACAUGCAAGUCGAGCGAACUGAUUAGAAGCUUGCUUCUAUGACGUUAGCGGCGGACGGGUGAGUAACACGUGGGCAACCUGCCUGUAAGACUGGGAUAACUUCGGGAAACCGAAGCUAAUACCGGAUAGGAUCUUCUCCUUCAUGGGAGAUGAUUGAAAGAUGGUUUCGGCUAUCACUUACAGAUGGGCCCGCGGUGCAUUAGCUAGUUGGUGAGGUAACGGCUCACCAAGGCAACGAUGCAUAGCCGACCUGAGAGGGUGAUCGGCCACACUGGGACUGAGACACGGCCCAGACUCCUACGGGAGGCAGCAGUAGGGAAUCUUCCGCAAUGGACGAAAGUCUGACGGAGCAACGCCGCGUGAGUGAUGAAGGCUUUCGGGUCGUAAAACUCUGUUGUUAGGGAAGAACAAGUACGAGAGUAACUGCUCGUACCUUGACGGUACCUAACCAGAAAGCCACGGCUAACUACGUGCCAGCAGCG